UAAGGGACAGGUUGGUAGAGCCCUGGAUUGUGAUUCCAGUUGUCGUGGGUUCGAAUCCCAUUAGCCA
rnacentral:tRNA from 1 species